rnacentral:rRNA from 1 species
UUUUAAAAUUUUUUAGAUUGAUUAAUAUUAUUUAUUUUAUUUAUUAAUAAUUAAUUAAAUAAAGUAUUAUUAUUUUUAGUAUAAUAAAAAAUAAAUUUUGAGUUAUUAAAGUAGAUUGUAUAAAAAUAGAAUUAUUAAAAUAUUAAGAAAAAAAAUAUUAUUUUUGUACCUUUUGUAUCAGGGUUUAAUAAAAAUUUUUUAAAUAAUUUAUUCUCGAAUAAUUAAGAUUUAAUUUUUUAUGAUUUUAAAUGUUGAAAAAUUUAAUUUAAUAAAAAAUUGGUAAUGAAAAGUUGAUCGUUUAAUUUGAUUUCUAGUUUUUAAGUAAAUUAAUUUAAUUAAGUUUUUAAUUUUUUUUAUAAUUUUUUAUUUUAAUGAUUUAAAAAAUAAAUUAUGAAGAGUUUAUUUUUUAUAAUUUUUAUAUCAAUUUAAAAAUGAUUUUUUCUAGAUUUAGUAUUUUUAAUUUGAUUAAUAGUUUUUAAAAAAAAAAGAUUAGUGAAAUUUAAUUUUUUUUUGAUUAAUUUUUUAUUUAGAUUUAAAUUUAAAUAUAUUAAAUUAUUUAAUAAUAUUAAAAUUAGUAAAUUUUUUAUUUUGAAUAUAGGAAUUCGGCAAAUUAAUUUUUCGCCUGUGUUUAUCAAAAACAUGUCUUUAAGAAUAUAUUUAAAGUCCAAUCUGCUCACUGAUUAUUUAAAGAGCCGCAGUAUUUUAACUGUGCAAAGGUAGCAUAAUAAAUAGUUUUUUAAUUGAAAGCUGGAAUGAAAGAUUAGACGAGAAAGUAGCUUUCUUUAUUCUAUUAAAUUGAAUUUAAAGUUUAAGUUAAAAUUCUUAAAUGUAUUUAAAAGACGAGAAGACCCUAUAGAUUUUUAUUUACAAAUUAAUUUUUUAAAAUUUUUAUUGAUGCUAAAUUUGAUUGGGGCGAUUUAAAUAACUUGAUUUGGGGCGAUUUUGUAAUAUAAAUAACUUAAUAUUAAAAAAACAUAAAUUAUUGGAUUUUUUGAACUAAAAAUUUUAAUUAAUAGAUUAAAUUACCUUAGGGAUAACAGCGUAAUUUUAUUUAAGAGUUCAUAUCUAAAAUAAAGGUUGCGACCUCGAUGUUGAAUUAAGAUAUAUAUAGAAGUAGAAGUUUAUAAUUAUUAGUCUGUUCGACUAUUAAAUUCUUACAUGAUUUGAGUUCAGACCGGCGUGAGCCAGGUCAGUUUCUAUCUUUAAAUUAUUUUUAUAAAUAAGUACGAAAGGACAAUUUAUAAAUAAAAUUUAUUUAUUUUGU